GAACGGGGCCUCCGUGUGGUCGGGCAUCCGUGGGCGCACUCAUUAGCGCGCGUGUGCCUAUAGACCGUGAGCCGACGGGUCUGUGGCCGGGGCGCGUCCGGGAGUGCGCGCGCGAGUCUCUGCGCCCUAAUCUAGGUGGGCUUCCAAGUGGCGUGGGAUCCGCGCGUACCCUCACUUAUGGCCGGGAAGGGGUUUGCAUGAGGAUGGAAGCGCCUGUGUUUUUGAGCGGCAUCCCUUUUCCUAGAGACGUUUCCUGAGCGCCCCCUGCGACGCACUGGCACCUCGAGGCGGGCCUGGCUGCAGGCCCUGCCCUGAUUGUGGGAGCCAGACUGACCUACCUGGCAGUUAGCAAAUGAACCUGUGGUGGUGAGGGCCCUGCCCAGAAGGCAAGGGGCCACUAGGAGGAGGUGAAGUUUGAGUGGAGACCUGGAGGUCAACCUGGCAGAGCGGAGGGAAAAGUUUUCUGAGAAGAGGAAACUACAUGUGCAAAGGCCCAGAGGUUGAAGGAGAGCCAGAGCUUGACGAGUGAGUAACUUCCCAACUCCUAAUCUACUUCUGGCUCCACACCCAGCAGCUUUGCCUUCUCUGGCAUUAGCCCUGCUGUUACCAGCCAAUCAACAUAAUGUAUCUUACAGGCCACGUUGAGCCAGGGAUGAGCACAAGACCACAGAGCCUGUCUCAGGACUUUGGUUGGGAAGAUUGGGAAGGAGGCCACCUUUGAGGGCUGGGAUUGCUGAGAAUUGAUGAUGGAGUAUGGGGCCUGCCUUGCAUCUGGCCCCAGCUUGAACUCCCUGCUCACUGUCUCACUACCCCAUGCUGAAUAAGUAGCAUUGCGCCCUCCUCUGUGUGCCCCAAGCCCUGGGCUUCUCAUCUCCUGAGAGUACAACAAACACACAAUUGAAGUAUUUUCUUAUUUAUCUUCCUAUGCACACCCUGAAAACUGGACCUGUGUAGUGCUCACCUUGACCCCAGAACUCACAAUAGAAACUAAAAACUCUGUGUGGCCUCACAGCCUGCCCUUGGGAGAAUAGCUCACAGGCAAGUCCCCAACUCAGCCCUGCCACAGCACAGAUGGGGCAGCAACACAGAGCCAACAGUUACAUCAGCUCUCAGACCUGGCCACUUCCAUCAGAGCACUUGGCAAUUCCACAGAAGCAUAAGAGCAUCAACUUCUUGGAAACAGGAAUUAGCCAAGAAAACAGGUUAAUGAAAAACAAUAAAGUUAUGUUCCCUGUAGAAAUGUCUAUCACUGAAUGAACUGUGACUACCUUAACUGUAAGGUCUCCCUGUUGCCUGGCUUAUCACUGCCUACAUCAUUCUCUCUCCCUCUCUCUCUCUCUUUUAAGUUUAUUUAUUUUGAGAUAUAUAUAGAGAAUCCCAAGUAGCCUCUGCACCAUCAGCAUGGAGCCCGACACUGGUCUUGAACCCAAGAACCGUGAGAUCAUGACCUGAGCUGGAAUCGAGAGUUGGACACUUAACUGACUGAGCCACCCAGGCUCCCCAUCACUGCCUGAUACAUAUACUUACCUGCUUAUUUGUUUAUUGUCUUCCCUUUACCAGUAGUUAAGUUCUGUUCCUGCUGUAUCCCCAACACCUAGAACAGUGCUCAGCAUUGGUAAGUGUUCAGAAUUAUUUGCCAACUAAACAAAUGAAUAAACAACUAGAGUCUCAGGGCACCUGGCUGGCUCAGUCAGUAGAGCGUGCAACUCUUGAUCUCAGGGUCAUGAGUUCAAGCCCCAUGUUGGGCAUAGAGUCCGCUUAAAAAUAAUUAGAGUCUUUAUGUUGCAUACUUACUAUGCACUGGACACAUUUAAUCCUCCUGACAACCCUAGGAGGUAGGUGUUAUUGUCUCUCUUUUACAGUUGAAGAAUCUGAGGUUUGGAGAGAUGAAGUGAUUUGAUGCAGGUCAACAAGGUAGUGAGUGUCCACAAGAACCUUAGUUUCCUUAGGUUAGUUUCCUUAGUUUCCUUGAGUUUCCAUACUCAACAUAUGGAACAAAGGAGGAGAAAUCCUUUUGUUCAGUGGCCCUUGAGCCUUCCAUCACAAUCUCACACCUCAAUGAUGAAGGUUUGACCAGGGAAGGAAACGCACUGGGAGACAGUCCCACUCAGCUUCAGAGCCUGGGAUGCAGGCAGGGAGCCCAGGGGCCAGCAGAGUACCCAAACAGACUCCAUCUCUGGCUGAGAUCUGGUUUCAGGCAGAAAGAUGAGAAAGCUGCACAUGGCUCCUCAGAUGAGUCCUGGGAUGAACACAGUAUCCAGAAACAGGUUGAUUGCUCCAUUCUUUCUGAUGUUUCUCAACACAGAGUCAGCCAUCGAAAUUAUUAGGACAUACUGGUUUUUUCAUGUGGAUCAAAAGUUUAAAUGUUAAAAACAACAACAAGAGUGAACUAUAAAAAUACUGAAGAAAAAAGGGAAAAGUUUGUAGAAUCUUGGAGUGAAGGGGGCCUUCUGAGUAUGUCACCAAACUCAAAAGGCAUAAAAGAAAAAAAAAUAAAAUGUAAAUUCAUUUAUAUUAAAUUAAAAAAAAAAUUGGAAGUCUAGGGGUGUCUGGGUGGCUCAUCAGUUGAUGACUUCGGCUCAGGUCGUGAUCUCAUGGUUUCUGAGUUCAAGCUCCGCAUUGGGCUGUCUGCUGUCAGUGCACUUCAAAUCCUCUGUCCCCUCUCUCCUGCCUCUCCUCCAAUUGCUCUCUCUCUCUCUCUCUCUCUCAAAAAUAAAUAAACAUUAAAAAAUUAAAAGUCUACAUGGAAAAAGCCACCAUCAAAGUCAAAAUACAAACAAUAAACUGUAAUUGGCUACAAACAACAUACUUGUAACUCAUUUCAAAAUAAAGAGCUCUCAUAAAUCAAUAAGAAAAAACCCCAAAAUCUCACUAAGAAAUGGGGUAAAAGAGUACAGACUACCCACAGAAAAAGAAAUACAAAUAGGUCUCUCAGCCCUAUAGAAAUUGGUUAUCCCUUCUUAAUAAGAUAAAUGGAAAUCAAACUUAGACUUCCAUAUUUAUAUCUAUAGAGAAAGAUUAAAAACCUUAAUGAAAUACUAUGGGAAAAUAGGCUGAUGGAAGAGUAAACCUUCAUGUAGAACAGUAUCUACAAAAUUGUGAAUGUGUAUACCCCCCCUUUUUUUUUAAUUGAAGUGAAAUUCACAUAACAAAAUUAACCAUCUUAAAGGGAUCAAGGCAGUACAUUCACUAUGUUGUGCAACCACCAUCUCCUGUUCUAGAACAUUUUCAUUGGGGUGCCUGGGUGCUGGGUGGCACGGUUGGUUAGGUGUUCAACUCUUGAUCUCUGCUCUUUUUUUUUUUUAUGUUUAUUUAUUUUGAGAGAGAGAAAGAGAGCACAAGCAGGAGAAGGGCAGAGAGAGAGGGAGGGAGAGAGAGAGAGAGGGAGAAUCCCAAGCAGGCUCCACACUGUCAGUGCAGAGUCCAAUGAGGGGCUCAAACUCACGAACCGCAAGAUCAUGACCUGGGCCGAAGUCAAGAAUCGGACACUUAACUGACUGAGCCACCCAGGCUCCCCUCAGCUCAGGUCUUGGCCUCAGGGUUGUGAGUUCAAGCCCUGCAUUGGGCUCUGUGCUGAGUGUGAAGCCUAUUUAAAAAAAAAAAAAUCAUCACCCCAAAAGAAAACCGUACCUGUUAAGCAGUUACUCCCCAUUCCUCCCUCCUCCGGUCCCUGCAACCACCAGUCUUCUUUCUAUUUCCAUGGAUUUACCUAUUCUGAAUAGUUCAUAUGAAUGGAGGCAUAAAACAUGUGACCUUUUAUAUCUGGCUUUUUUUCACUUAGCAUAAUUGUUUGGAGGUUCAUCUACAUUGUAGCACAUAUCAGUACUUCGUUCUUUUUUAUGGCUGAAUAAUAUUCCAUUGUGCAUAUAUACCAGAAUUUGUUUAUCCAUUCAUCCAGCUGAUGACAUUUGUGUUGUUUCCACUUUUGGCUAUUGUGAAUGGUGCUGCUAUGAACAACAAAUGCCUUUGACCCAGCAAUUCCAUUACUAGGAACGGAUCCUAUCAAUAUCGCCCCCACAAAAAAACUGUAAAGCAAAUAACUGAAAACAAUCUAAAUGUCCAUCACUGGGGGGCUAGCUACAUAAAGUCUGCAUUUUUGCAGAGACUACUCUGUAACCUUAACAAUAAGGCAGCUUUUCGAGGACUAACAAAAAAAGAGGUAUCUUUUAUGAAAAUUUCAAGUAUAGGAUAUGGCACAGAGUAUGCUAUCAUUUGUGGAAAGAAAAGGAGGGGAGAAGGAAAGAUUUUAUAUAUAUGUAAUUUUUAAAUUACUUAAAUUGAGAUAUAAUUUACAAAUCCCAUUGUAUACAACAAGAUUCAAUAUUUGUAUAUAUCGUGAAAUGACUACAAUAAGUUUAGGUAACAUCCAUCACCACACAUAGUUAUAAUUAUUUUUCUUAUGAGAACUUUUAGAAUCUACUCUUAGUAACUUUCAAAUAUGCAAUACAGCAGCAUUAACUAUAGUCACCAUGCUAUAGAUUACACCCACAGAACGAACUUAUUUUUUUAAAUAUAUAUUUAUUUUUGAGAGAGAGAGCAAGCAGGGGAGGGGCAGAGAGAAGGAGACAGAGGAUCUGAAUGAAGCAGGAUCUGUGCUGACAGCAGAGAGCCCCAUAUGGGGCUUGAACUCAUGAACCUUGAGACCAUGACCUGAAGUUGGAUGCUUAAUCAACGGAGCCACCCAGGUGCCCCCGCCCAGCACUUAUUUAUAACUGAAGGUUUAUACCUUUUGACCAAUUUCACCCAUUUUGUCCACCCCGCCCCCACACUUCUGACAACAAACAGUCCAUUUUCUGUGCCUAUGGAUUUGAAAUUUUGUUUAGAUUCCACAUAUAAGUGAGAUCAUACAGUGUUUAUCUUCCUCUGUCUGACUUAUUUAGCAUAAAGCCCUCAAGGUCCAUCUGUGCUGUUGCAAAUGGCAGACUGUCCUUUUUUAUGGCUGAAUAAUAUUCCUGUGUGUGUGUGGUUAUGUACCACAUUGUCUUUAACCAUUCAUCUGACAGUAGACAUUUUGGUUGUUUCCAUGUUUUGGCUGUUGUAAACAAUGCUGCAGUGAAAAUGGGGGUGCAGAUAUGUUUUCAAGAUGUUGAUUACACUUUCUUCAGAUAGAUAUCCAGAAAUGGAAUUGAUAGAUCAUAUGAUAGUUCUAUUUUUAAUUUUUUGAGGAACCUCCAUACUGUUUUCCAUAGUGUCUGCAACCAGUUUACAUUCCCACCAACAGUGCACAAGAGUUCCCUUUUCUCCACAUCCUUGCCAACACUCAUUAUUUCUUGUCUUAUAGGUAAUUUUUUUUUUGGCUUGAAUUUUUACAGAACACCUGGCACUUCUGGAAGGAUUCACAAGAAACUAGUAAUAUUAGAUGUCUCCGGGGAGGGGAACUGCAUGGCCAGGGGAUGGGGUUGUGGGAGAGACUUGUUACUAAAUACACUUUACACCUUUUGAAUUUUGUGGGUUUUUAAAAAAGUUUUUGUUUUGUUUUUGUUUUUUAAGUAAUCUCUGUGCCCAAAGUGGGGCUCAAACUCACGACCCCAAGAUCAAGCAUCGAAUGUUCCACCAAAUGAGCCAGCCAGGAGCCCCACCUUUUGAAUUUUAAGUCAUGGGACUCAACAAAAACUAUUCUCCUUGUGAGUGAAAAAAAAUGUAGCAUAAAAAUCUUUUUCUUUUUUGCUAAACUUGCUCCUCCCCACCCCAAACUGUCACAUGCGGACGGAGUUAGCUGAGGAGAGGUGUCAGGCCAGGAGCGGGGCAAGCUUGCGUUCAUUGGAACAAUUAGGAGAAGGGUGUCACUGGGAAGUGGGGGGCUGCAUGGCCCCCAGGGAGGGCUCAGCCCAAGAAUGAAGAGAGACCCACCCCAAGGAACCUCCCCUACAAUUUCAGACACCAGAGACAGACGAGAUUAGAAACUUCUGGAGAAAGAAAAAGGCAAACAACCAAUCUAAAGGUCUGGGAAUGGGAGGGGCCCUAGACUGCAGCAGAAGCAACAGUCAAAAGACAAUGAACAGAGAAGUCAGACUCUGAGCUAAAAUAUCAGUCAAAAACAAAGGAUUUUGCCCCAUGUUGGGUGUAGAGCUUACUUUAAAAAAAAUUUUUUUUUUUUUUUUGAGGCAAACCCUUUCAGACUUGGGAGGAUCCAGGAAAUGACCUUCCAGUCAUCCUUUCUUGGAGAGUUGUUAGAGGAUGUGCUUCAGCAAAAUUAGGUCGAAAACUAAGAAAGUCAGCCUUGGGAUCCAAGCCAGAGCAGAGGCUCCCAGAAGCCACCUAGAAGCCAGAGGAGCCUCGGUGGCACUGAAGGGACACUCAGGCCUCCUUGGAACAGGGAGGAAGGGACUGCCAUAGGGCUCCACAGCUACACUGAGCAACAGACCACCUGUGACAUCUCAGGAGCUUCUCUGAAUACGCUUCAAAGGACAGGAUUCAUCCCACCCACGAAGUCCAAGGCACUGGCAUGGAGAAAAGACUGUGCUUGUGUUGUUUCCUCUCAUUUUAGACUAAAAACCUCUGAGCUGUUGGCUGGUAGGGAUGAAGAGGUGACCCCACAGACUGAAUUGGGCCUGCCCCACCCUGGGUCCCUGGUCCAUUUCUGUCCCGGUGAUAGACCGUAGCUCAGGUGUCCUUCGGGAAGCUUUCUCUGAUUUUGCCCCCACCCCCUUGCCAGCUGGAACAAGCACCAUCCACCAGGCCUUCGCCAUCAGAGCUGGGACUCAACCUCCAUCACUGCUGCACCCAGCAUGUGAGCAUGUGCUAGGCUUGGGAGCCCAGACAAAGGUAGGGACUCCUCCUGAAGCUCUCCCUGGGGACCCUGGGCUAUGGGCCUCAGGGGCUUUGAGUUGGCAAGCCUGCCUUUUUGGAAGAGGAAAGGGGAAGAGAAAUCCCCUGUGGGGAGUUUGAGUCAGCUGAACUGUCAUAAUGGAAACAGCAGAGCCCUGGGCAUCAGGACACUUCCCCUCUGUGGGCCUCAGAGUCCUCCUCAAGAAACAGAAAUAACAGUGCUGCACAGGGAGUUGGGCUUAAGUGACAGAAGGGUGACAGAGCACUCUGUUAACUUGCAGGUGUGAAGGGAGACACUGCUGCUGACCGCACGGUGACAGCUGGUCAGGGGUUAAGAGACUGCAGCAUCUUGCCUCCAGCAGGGAUGAAUUCUUUCACUUCCCUUAGUUCCAGGUCUGAACUUGGACUGGUUGGAGCUUUCUGGGGACCAUGAAUUCCUCUUGUCUACCAGUCACGAACAUUCUAGUGAGAAUCCUGCUGUCUGUCCAGAGAAGACAUCUUGACUGGAGGGGCAGUGGUUUGGGAGGCUGUCCCUGAAGUGUGGAGAGGAGUCUCAGGUUGAGGAACGCCAGGGUGGCCACCAAGCCUCAUGUGGGGGUGGACGGUGACAGGCUGCAUGGGCGGGAAAUGAAGGGCCACCCGAGGGAACCCUGUGCUCUGAGACUCUUACUCAACGUGUCAGUCUGACACCUCCAGGCACAUCCUGUUCCCAUCUAACCCUUGCGCAAGGUCCGGGCCCAGUGGGAGGAGGCCGGAGGCUCCCCCACGGACGCGGACCCAGCCUCCAGGCCUCGGCUACGUUCGGAAUGACCCCAUCACCUCGCUGGGUGACGAGGAGGACUUUUUCCCUUGCAAAGGCCACCACCCCACGCGUGUGGCGCAGCACUACGCCCGCUCGGGUGGCUGCGUGACGCGGGCAAGCCACUUCGCCUCUGGAGGUCUCAGUGUUCUUGCCUGUGAAGUGGGGUUGCCAACAGCCUUUGCUUCUUGGGGUCGUCAGGGGCCCCGGUAAGCCCGAGGGCGCCCGGGCCGCUCGUGC
rnacentral:lncRNA from 1 species